rnacentral:rRNA from 1 species
UACGUAGGGCGCAAGCGUUGUCCGGAAUUAUUGGGCGUAAAGAGCUCGUAGGCGGCUUGUCAUGUCGGAUGUGAAAGCCCGGGGCUUAACCCCGGGUCUGCAUUCGAUACGGGCAGGCUAGAGUUCGGUAGGGGAGAUCGGAAUUCCUGGUGUAGCGGUGAAAUGCGCAGAUAUCAGGAGGAACACCGGUGGCGAAGGCGGAUCUCUGGGCCGAUACUGACGCUGAGGAGCGAAAGCGUGGGGAGCGAACAGG